AGUUUGAUCCUGGCUCAGGAUGAACGCUAGCGGCAGGCUUAAUACAUGCAAGUCGUGGGGCAGCACAGUGUAGCAAUACAUGGGUGGCGACCGGCAAACGGGUGCGGAACACGUACGCAACCUUCCUUUAACUGGAGAAUAGCCCGGGGAAACCCGGAUUAAUACUCCGUAACAUUAUGAAGUGGCAUCACUUUAUAAUUAUAGCUCCGGCGGUUGAAGAUGGGCGUGCGUCUGAUUAGGUAGUUGGCGGGGUAACGGCCCACCAAGCCUACGAUCAGUAACUGGUGUGAGAGCACGACCAGUCACACGGGCACUGAGACACGGGCCCGACUCCUACGGGAGGCAGCAGUAAGGAAUAUUGGUCAAUGGACGCAAGUCUGAACCAGCCAUGCCGCGUGGAGGAUGAAGGUCCUCUGGAUUGUAAACUUCUUUUAUUUGGGAAGAAACCACCGAUUUCUAUUGGUGUUGACGGUACCAGAUGAAUAAGCACCGGCUAACUCCGUGCCAGCAGCCGCGGUAAUACGGAGGGUGCAAGCGUUAUCCGGAUUCACUGGGUUUAAAGGGUGCGUAGGCGGGUUGGUAAGUCCGUGGUGAAAUCUCCAAGCUUAACUUGGAAACUGCCGUGGAUACUAUCAAUCUUGAAUAUAGUGGAGGUGAGCGGAAUAUGUCAUGUAGCGGUGAAAUGCUUAGAUAUGACAUAGAACACC
rnacentral:rRNA from 1 species